UAGCAGAAACUGGAGGGAGUACUGUUGAAGAAGCAACAAGAAGAAUGAUGGCCUUCCUUUUUGACCACCCCUUAGCAAGAGAGUACAAUUUUGUUGGCCGGCAUGGAAAGCGGGAGUUUCGGGGCCUCAGACUGUUUGAGGUUGUAUAUGGAAGCUUGAAAAAAAUUCACUUACAAACCAAAUUACAAGAAAAGAUGCAGAAAAGGCUGUCUCAAAGUGGCUAAUCGGUGCCAGGGACAGGGGAGGAAACUGUUCUGCAAGGGCACGUGGAGAACAAGAUAGGGCUGUUUGGAGAGAGAGGACCGAGGACUGAGGAGCUGCACAGUUUUUUUUCCGGUAAAAUGUAUUAAAGGUUUAGGGCUGUUAAGUGUUUAAUUGUGAUUAAUC